CUGAUGUUAUGGGUAGCUGUAUAGUCUUAGAAGGUGUCAAAGAUUCCUGAACUGAUCCACAACAUUACAUCAUCCAGUUGAAAUUCACCCAGGGGAGGUACCUGGGUGUUCCUACCUGACCUGGAGUGAAUAAAAACCCAGCAGAUGUUGUGUUUUGGGGAUUUUUCCCCACCACUUCUUGAGAAGUUCUCCCACCACAUGAUGGAUCCAGUCUGCAACUAUCACUUUGACCAAGAAACAUGAAAAUUGCAACAACCAAGUCUCAUUGUGAGGCCUACAGGUGGCAUUUCUACUCUUAUCCUUUCCUUCUCCUUCUUACCCAUUUUCUUAAGCAGUAUUUUUAUGCUUUUGUAUUGCCAUAUAUAACAAUAACAAAAAUGGCUGUUUUAAAUACAACCAAAUAGUUCUACAAUAAACUCUACAUGUGUAUAUUUGCAAACACCUCUCAUUCAGUGUCAUUUCACUCCAGUUUGCCCCAAGAGAUCUAUUAGCAAGAACCUGAGCUAUCCUUGCCUUCUGCACAGGGUUCGAACACAAGUGGUGAGGUGUCUGCUGCAAGCUUUUUCUCCUCAAAAUGCACUUGGAUACCAGACCUUGGUAACAUGAGUUAAUCUAAAGUACUUAGACUCUAAAAAACUAAAACAUCAAAUAUAAAUCAAUUCAGAAAACUCGUAGGCAGGAUCUGUGAAGAGAUGUCCUAAAUGAUAAAAGAGAUCUGGGGACUGAUAAAAGGAGUCAUAGUCCAAAUAAGAAACUAUCCUGCUGCAAGAGAAGUGAAAGGACUGUAAAUAGAGAUCAAUAAAAUGGAUCAAGAGCUCUUCAACUGCCUGAAGCAUGAGAAGAAAAAAUAUGAAACGUGGGAUGGGUAUUGGAGCAUUGCAGACUACACGUGAGCUGCCAGGGGACUUAAAGAGAGCAUGGCAACAUCACCUAACUGGUGAUGAAGAAAAACCUAGAGAAUUACAGACCUGAUAUCUCUCUGUGAAAACCUUAAGGAGCAAGCUACUGACUAGUUAUUCUCUAAUCCUCUAAGUAUUUAUAAAUUUGUAAAUAAAUGGCAGGAAUGGGUUUGUUGAAGUU
rnacentral:lncRNA from 1 species